UAGGGCAAUGAUGAUGACUGGUGGUAUAUGAGUCAUGGGUGAUGAACAAUAUGAGUGUGGAGCUCUGAGGGCCAA